AGUGAACGCUGGCGGCAGGCCUAACACAUGCAAGUCGAACGGCAGCACAGUAAAUGCUUGCUCUUACGGGUGGCGAGUGGCGGACGGGUGAGGAAUACAUCGGAAUCUACUUUUUCGUGGGGGAUAACGUAGGGAAACUUACGCUAAUACCGCAUACGACCUACGGGUGAAAGCAGGGGAUCUUCGGCCCUUGUGCGAUUGUAUGAGCCGAUGUCGGAUUAGCUAGUUGGCGGGGUAAAGGCCCACCAAGGCGACGAUCCGUAGCUGGUCUGAGAGGAUGAUCAGCCACACGGGAACUGAGACACGGUCCAGACUCCUACGGGAGGCAGCAGUGGGGAAUAUUGGACAAUGGGCGAAAGCCUGAUCCAGCCAUACCGCGUGGGUGAAGAAGGCCUUCGGGUUGUAAAGCCCUUUUGUUGGGAAAGAAAAGCAGCAGGUUAAUACCCCGCUGUUCUGACGGUACCCAAAGAAUAAGCACCGGCUAACUUCGUG
rnacentral:rRNA from 1 species